rnacentral:tRNA from 1 species
UAGAAAAUAGUAUAUUGGUGGUACUGAAAGUUUUGGGCUUUCUGGUUCAAGUUCGAAUCUUGAUUUUCUAU